rnacentral:miRNA from 1 species
CCGACACAUUCCAGCCAAUCAGCAGCAGACCCUCCCUCCCAUACCCUCCCACCUCUUGGAGAGCAUCCAUUUUGAAGCUGCAUUCUUAGUGAGCUGUCCAGGAGGUGGGAGGGUCUGGGAGGGAGGGUCUGCUGCUGAUUGGCUGGAAUGUGUCU